rnacentral:lncRNA from 1 species
AUGUUUAUUUUUAUACGCCCGGGACGGGACGUAUUAUGGUAUACCGUUGUCCGUCCGUCUGUCCGUCCGUCCGUCUGUCCGUCCGUCGUCCACACUUCGGACAAUAACUCAAAAACACUUUCACCAAUUUCCAAGAAACUUUGGUGAAUUGUUUAUAUCUAUUGACGUAAGCUCCCUUUCGUUUUUUUUUUAAUUUCAGAUUUUAAGUUUUGGAUUUAUGGGGCUUUAUUCAUAAAAAAGGGGGGAUUUUCAACACUUCGGACAAUAACUCAAAAAGGCUUUCACCAAUGUCCAUGAAACUUUGGUGAAUUGUUUAUAUCUAUUGACGUAAGCUCCCUUUCGUUUUUUUUUUAAUUUCAGAUUUUAAGUUUUGGAUUUAUGGGGCUUUAUUCAUAAAAAAGGGGGGAUUUUCAACACUUCGGACAAUAACUCAAAAAGGCUUUCACCAAUGUCCAUGAAACUUUGGUGAAUUGUUUAUAUCUAUUGAUGUAAGCUCCCUUUCGGUUUUUUUUAAUUUCAGAUUUUAAGUUUUGGAUUUAUGGGGCUUUAUUCAUAAAAAAAGGGGGAUUUUUAACACUUCGGACAAUAACUCAAAAAGGCUUUCACCAAUGUCCAUGAAACUUUGGUGAAUUGUUUAUAUCUAUUGAUGUAAGCUCCCUUUCAAUUUUUAUUAAUUUCAGAUUUUAAGUUUUGGAUUUAUGGGGCUUUAUUCAUAAAAAAAGGGGGAUUUUUAACACUUCGGACAAUAACUCAAAAAGGCUUUCACCAAUGUCCA